GGGUUGUGAGGUUAAGCGACUAAGCGUACACGGUGGAUGCCCUGGCAGUCAGAGGCGAUGAAGGACGUGCUAAUCUGCGAUAAGCGUCGGUAAGGUGAUAUGAACCGUUAUAACCGGCGAUUUCCGAAUGGGGAAACCCAGUGUGUUUCGACACACUAUCAUUAACUGAAUCCAUAGGUUAAUGAGGCGAACCGGGGGAACUGAAACAUCUAAGUACCCCGAGGAAAAGAAAUCAACCGAGAUUCCCCCAGUAGCGGCGAGCGAACGGGGAGCAGCCCAGAGCCUGAAUCAGUGUGUGUGUUAGUGGAAGCGUCUGGAAAGGCGCGCGAUACAGGGUGACAGCCCCGUACACAAAAAUGCACAUGCUGUGAGCUCGAUGAGUAGGGCGGGACACGUGGUAUCCUGUCUGAAUAUGGGGGGACCAUCCUCCAAGGCUAAAUACUCCUGACUGACCGAUAGUGAACCAGUACCGUGAGGGAAAGGCGAAAAGAACCCCGGCGAGGGGAGUGAAAAAGAACCUGAAACCGUGUACGUACAAGCAGUGGGAGCACGCUUAGGCGUGUGACUGCGUACCUUUUGUAUAAUGGGUCAGCGACUUAUAUUCUGUAGCAAGGUUAACCGAAUAGGGGAGCCGAAGGGAAACCGAGUCUUAACUGGGCGUUAAGUUGCAGGGUAUAGACCCGAAACCCGGUGAUCUAGCCAUGGGCAGGUUGAAGGUUGGGUAACACUAACUGGAGGACCGAACCGACUAAUGUUGAAAAAUUAGCGGAUGACUUGUGGCUGGGGGUGAAAGGCCAAUCAAACCGGGAGAUAGCUGGUUCUCCCCGAAAGCUAUUUAGGUAGCGCCUCGUGAAUUCAUCUCCGGGGGUAGAGCACUGUUUCGGCAAGGGGGUCAUCCCGACUUACCAACCCGAUGCAAACUGCGAAUACCGGAGAAUGUUAUCACGGGAGACACACGGCGGGUGCUAACGUCCGUCGUGAAGAGGGAAACAACCCAGACCGCCAGCUAAGGUCCCAAAGUCAUGGUUAAGUGGGAAACGAUGUGGGAAGGCCCAGACAGCCAGGAUGUUGGCUUAGAAGCAGCCAUCAUUUAAAGAAAGCGUAAUAGCUCACUGGUCGAGUCGGCCUGCGCGGAAGAUGUAACGGGGCUAAACCAUGCACCGAAGCUGCGGCAGCGACGCUUAUGCGUUGUUGGGUAGGGGAGCGUUCUGUAAGCCUGCGAAGGUGUGCUGUGAGGCAUGCUGGAGGUAUCAGAAGUGCGAAUGCUGACAUAAGUAACGAUAAAGCGGGUGAAAAGCCCGCUCGCCGGAAGACCAAGGGUUCCUGUCCAACGUUAAUCGGGGCAGGGUGAGUCGACCCCUAAGGCGAGGCCGAAAGGCGUAGUCGAUGGGAAACAGGUUAAUAUUCCUGUACUUGGUGUUACUGCGAAGGGGGGACGGAGAAGGCUAUGUUGGCCGGGCGACGGUUGUCCCGGUUUAAGCGUGUAGGCUGGUUUUCCAGGCAAAUCCGGAAAAUCAAGGCUGAGGCGUGAUGACGAGGCACUACGGUGCUGAAGCAACAAAUGCCCUGCUUCCAGGAAAAGCCUCUAAGCAUCAGGUAACAUCAAAUCGUACCCCAAACCGACACAGGUGGUCAGGUAGAGAAUACCAAGGCGCUUGAGAGAACUCGGGUGAAGGAACUAGGCAAAAUGGUGCCGUAACUUCGGGAGAAGGCACGCUGAUAUGUAGGUGAAGUCCCUCGCGGAUGGAGCUGAAAUCAGUCGAAGAUACCAGCUGGCUGCAACUGUUUAUUAAAAACACAGCACUGUGCAAACACGAAAGUGGACGUAUACGGUGUGACGCCUGCCCGGUGCCGGAAGGUUAAUUGAUGGGGUCAGCGCAAGCGAAGCUCUUGAUCGAAGCCCCGGUAAACGGCGGCCGUAACUAUAACGGUCCUAAGGUAGCGAAAUUCCUUGUCGGGUAAGUUCCGACCUGCACGAAUGGCGUAAUGAUGGCCAGGCUGUCUCCACCCGAGACUCAGUGAAAUUGAACUCGCUGUGAAGAUGCAGUGUACCCGCGGCAAGACGGAAAGACCCCGUGAACCUUUACUAUAGCUUGACACUGAACAUUGAGCCUUGAUGUGUAGGAUAGGUGGGAGGCUUUGAAGUGUGGACGCCAGUCUGCAUGGAGCCGACCUUGAAAUACCACCCUUUAAUGUUUGAUGUUCUAACGUUGACCCGUGAUCCGGGUUGCGGACAGUGUCUGGUGGGUAGUUUGACUGGGGCGGUCUCCUCCUAAAGAGUAACGGAGGAGCACGAAGGUUGGCUAAUCCUGGUCGGACAUCAGGAGGUUAGUGCAAUGGCAUAAGCCAGCUUGACUGCGAGCGUGACGGCGCGAGCAGGUGCGAAAGCAGGUCAUAGUGAUCCGGUGGUUCUGAAUGGAAGGGCCAUCGCUCAACGGAUAAAAGGUACUCCGGGGAUAACAGGCUGAUACCGCCCAAGAGUUCAUAUCGACGGCGGUGUUUGGCACCUCGAUGUCGGCUCAUCACAUCCUGGGGCUGAAGUAGGUCCCAAGGGUAUGGCUGUUCGCCAUUUAAAGUGGUACGCGAGCUGGGUUUAGAACGUCGUGAGACAGUUCGGUCCCUAUCUGCCGUGGGCGCUGGAGAAUUGAGGGGGGCUGCUCCUAGUACGAGAGGACCGGAGUGGACGCAUCACUGGUGUUCGGGUUGUCAUGCCAAUGGCACUGCCCGGUAGCUAAAUGCGGAAGAGAUAAGUGCUGAAAGCAUCUAAGCACGAAACUUGCCCCGAGAUGAGUUCUCCCUGACCCUUUAAGGGUCCUGAAGGAACGUUGAAGACGACGACGUUGAUAGGCCGGGUGUGUAAGCGCAGCGAUGCGUUGAGCUAACCGGUACUAAUGAACCGUGAGGCUUAACCUUACAACGCCGAAGCUGUU
rnacentral:rRNA from 2 species